rnacentral:rRNA from 1 species
UACAGAGGUCUCAAGCGUUGUUCGGAUUCAUUGGGCGUAAAGGGUGCGUAGGCGGCGCGGUAAGUCGGGUGUGAAAUCUCGGAGCUUAACUCCGAAACUGCAUUCGAUACUGCCGUGCUUGAGGACUGGAGAGGAGACUGGAAUUUACGGUGUAGCGGUGAAAUGCGUAGACAUCGUAAGGAAGACCAGUGGCGAAGGCGGGUCUCUGGACAGUUCCUGACGCUGAGGCACGAAGGUCAGGGGGAGCAAACGGG